rnacentral:rRNA from 1 species
UACGAAGGGGGCUAGCGUUGCUCGGAAUCACUGGGCGUAAAGCGCACGUAGGCGGAUUGCUAAGUCAGGGGUGAAAUCCUGGAGCUCAACUCCAGAACUGCCCUUGAUACUGGCGGUCUCGAGUCCGGGAGAGGUGAGUGGAACUGCGAGUGUAGAGGUGAAAUUCGUAGAUAUUCGCAAGAACACCAGUGGCGAAGGCGGCUCACUGGCCCGGUACUGACGCUGAGGUGCGAAAGCGUGGGGAUCAAACAGG